rnacentral:rRNA from 1 species
UACGUAGGCAGCGAGCGUUGUUCGGAGUUACUGGGCGUAAAGCGCGUGUAGGCGGCAUGGCAAGUCGGGUGUGAAAGCCCUCAGCUUAACUGAGGAAGUGCGCCCGAAACUCCCGGUCUUGAGUGGUGGAGAGGGAAGUGGAAUUCCUGGUGUAGAGGUGAAAUUCGUAGAUAUCAGGAGGAACACCAGUGGCGAAGGCGGCUUCCUGGACACCAACUGACGCUGAGACGCGAAAGCGUGGGGAGCAAACAGG